GAAUUCGCCCUUAGAGUUUGAUCCUGGCUCAGGAUGAACGCUGGCGGCGUGCCUAACACAUGCAAGUCGAACGGAGUUCUUAAGGAAUGCGACUUCGGUCAAAUGACUUUUGAACUUAGUGGCGGACGGGUGAGUAACGCGUGAGCAACCUGCCUUUCAGAGGGGGAUAACAUUUGGAAACAGAUGCUAAUACCGCAUAAGAUUACAGUACCGCAUGAUACAGUGAUCAAAGGAGCAAUCCGCUGAAAGAUGGGCUCGCGUCCGAUUAGAUAGUUGGUGAGGUAACGGCUCACCAAGUCGACGAUCGGUAGCCGGACUGAGAGGUUGAACGGCCACAUUGGGACUGAGACACGGCCCAGACUCCUACGGGAGGCAGCAGUGGGGAAUAUUGCACAAUGGGCGAAAGCCUGAUGCAGCAACGCCGCGUGAGGGAAGACGGUUUUCGGAUUGUAAACCUCUGUUUUCGGUGACGAACAAAUGACGGUAACCGAGUAGGAAGCCACGGCUAACUACGUGCCAGCAGCCGCGGUAAUACGUAGGUGGCAAGCGUUAUCCGGAAUUACUGGGUGUAAAGGGAGCGCAGGCGGGAUAGCAAGUCAGUUGUGAAAACUAUGGGCUCAACCCAUAAACUGCAGUUGAAACUGUUAUUCUUGAGUGGAGUAGAGGCAAGCGGAAUUCCGAGUGUAGCGGUGAAAUGCGUAGAUAUUCGGAGGAACACCAGUGGCGAAGGCGGCUUGCUGGGCUCUAACUGACGCUGAGGCUCGAAAGUGUGGGGAGCAAACAGAAUUAGAUACCCUGGUAGUCCACACUGUAAACGAUG
rnacentral:rRNA from 1 species